rnacentral:lncRNA from 1 species
AAGGGAUAGCUCAGGGCCACCAAAGUGGUGAGUAGGAGUCGAGUCAUAGGAUUGAGCCAUAAGUUCGACCCUCCAACAACUCAAUACUCCUCCUCUCAAGCCUCGACGACCCAGACAUGGGGUGAUGCACAUGUGAAGGAGGUCAUGCAGAAGCUUUGGAGCCAGCGACCUCAGAGCUUUCAAGAUACUGUCCGUGAUACAGUCAUUAAAAUUCUUCGAAACUCGUAUCUGCAUGAUCAGCUGGAC